rnacentral:rRNA from 1 species
UACGUAGGGUGCGAGCGUUGUCCGGAAUUACUGGGCGUAAAGAGCUCGUAGGUGGUUUGUCGCGUUGUUCGUGAAAACUCACAGCUCAACUGUGGGCGUGCGGGCGAUACGGGCAGACUGGAGUACUGCAGGGGAGACUGGAAUUCCUGGUGUAGCGGUGGAAUGCGCAGAUAUCAGGAGGAACACCGGUGGCGAAGGCGGUUCUCUGGGCCUUACCUGACGCUGGAGGAGCGAAAGCGUCGGGGAGCGAACAGG